AUUGAACGCUGGCGGCAUGCCUUACACAUGCAAGUCGAACGGCAGCACGGGAGCAAUCCUGGUGGCGAGUGGCGAACGGGUGAGUAAUAUAUCGGAACGUGCCCAGUCGUGGGGGAUAACGUAGCGAAAGCUACGCUAAUACCGCAUACGAUCUAUGGAUGAAAGCGGGGGAUCGCAAGACCUCGCGCGAUUGGAGCGGCCGAUAUCAGAUUAGGUAGUUGGUGAGGUAAAGGCUCACCAAGCCGACGAUCUGUAGCUGGUCUGAGAGGACGACCAGCCACACUGGGACUGAGACACGGCCCAGACUCCUACGGGAGGCAGCAGUGGGGAAUUUUGGACAAUGGCGCAAGCCUGAUCCAGCAAUGCCGCGUGCAGGAUGAAGCC
rnacentral:rRNA from 1 species